rnacentral:rRNA from 1 species
CCCUUAGAUGUUCUGGGCUGCACGCGUGCUACACUGAUAUUGCCAAUAUGUCAUUUUUAUCCGAAAUGGAUUGGGUAAUCAAGUAAUGAAAUUUCAUGCUUGGAAUCGGUAAUUGCAAUUUUAUCGUGAACGAGGAAUUCCUAGUAAGCACUAGUCAUCAGCUAAUGUUGAUUAUGUCCCUGCCCUUUGUACACACCGCCCGUCGCUACUACUGAUUGGGUGUUCAAGUGAGAUGCUUAGACCCUUGUUGCAUGGUUCAUUAUUGUGCUCCGAAAGGAAAAAGUUUCAAGCUUGAGUGUCUAGAGGAAGUAAAAGUCGUAACA